GAUGAACGCUGGCGGCGUGCCUAAUACAUGCAAGUCGAGCGAACAGACGAGGAGCUUGCUCCUCUGACGUUAGCGGCGGACGGGUGAGUAACACGUGGAUAACCUACCUAUAAGACUGGGAUAACUUCGGGAAACCGGAGCUAAUACCGGAUAACAUGUUGAACCGCAUGGUUCAACAGUGAAAGACGGUCUUGCUGUCUCUUAUAGAUGGAUCCGCGCCGCAUUAGCUAGUUGGUAAGGUAACGGCUUACCAAGGCAACGAUGCGUAGCCGACCUGAGAGGGUGAUCGGCCACACUGGAACUGAGACACGGUCCAGACUCCUACGGGAGGCAGCAGUAGGGAAUCUUGCGCAAUGGGCGAAAGCCUGACGGAGCAACGCCGCGUGAGUGAAGAAGGUCUUCGGAUCGUAAAACUCUGUUAUUAGGGAAGAACAACUGUGUAAGUAACUAUGCACGUCUUGACGGUACCUAAUCAGAAAGCCACGGCUAACUACGUG
rnacentral:rRNA from 1 species